rnacentral:rRNA from 1 species
GAAAGUAAGCAAGGGCAGACGGUGGAUGCCUUGGCUCUCGGAGGCGAUGAAGGACGUGAUAAGCUGCGAUAAGCUUGGGGUAGGUGCAAAUAACCUUUGAUCCCAAGAUUUCCGAAUGGGGCAACCCGGCUGGUAGAAGGCCAGUCAUUCCGUAAGGAAGGCGAACGUGGGGAACUGAAACAUCUAAGUACCCAUAGGAGAAGAAAACAAAAGUGAUUCCGCAAGUAGUGGCGAGCGAACGCGGAACAGCCCAAACCGAUGAUGUUUAGGCAUUGUCGGGGUAGUAGGACCACGUUGUGGCAAGAGAUUAAGGAAGUAGAACGUUUUGGAACAAACGGCCGUAGACGGUGAAAGCCCAGUAUACGACUCUUUAACGAAGCCUAGUGGAAUCCUGAGUAGCGCGGAGCACGAGAAAUUCUGUGUGAAUCAGCGGGGCCCAUCCCGUAAGGCUAAAUACUCCCGAGAGACCGAUAGCGAACCAGUACUGUGAAGGAAAGGUGAAAAGCACCUCGAACAGAGGAGUGAAAUAGUCCCUGAAACCGUCUGCCUACAAGCGGUCGGAGCAACGUAAGUUGUGACGGCGUGCCUUUUGCAUAAUGAACCUACGAGUUACUUUCUCCGGCAAGGUUAAGGGCUUCAGGCCCGGAGCCGAAGCGAAAGCGAGUCUUAAUAGGGCGUGAUAGUCGGAGUGAGUAGACGCGAAACCAAGUGAUCUACCCUUGGUCAGGAUGAAGGUUGGGUAACACCAACUGGAGGUCCGAAUGGGUAUACGUUGAAAAGUGUUCCAAUGAACUGAGGGUAGGGGUGAAAGGCUAAUCAAACUUGGAGAUAGCUCGUACUCCCCGAAAUGCAUUUAGGUGCAGCCUUUAUUUAGUAUAGCAUGAGGUAGAGCGACUGAUUGGAUGCGAGGGCUUCACCGCCUAUCAAGUCCAGAUAAACUCCGAAUGCGUGCUAUAUAUUGAUAAGGAGUGAGGGCGCGGGUGCUAAGGUCCGCGUCCGAGAGGAGAAGAAUCCAGACCAUCAGCUAAGGUCCCCAAAUAACAGUUAAGUUGAACUAACGAAGUCGGACUGCAGAGACAGCUAGGAUGUUGGCUUGGAAGCAGCCAUUCAUUUAAAGAGUGCGUAACAGCUCACUAGUCGAGGAGUCCGGCGUGGAUAAUACUCGGGCAUAAACUGUUUACCGAAGCUAUGGAUGUAGAAAUACAUGGUAGGGGAGCAUUCCAACGGCGUCGAAGGUGAAGGAUGACCUUUGCUGGAGCUUUUGGAAACGCAAAUGUAGGUAUAAGUAACGAUAAAGGAGGUGAGAAACCUCCUCGCCGAAAGACUAAGGUUUCCUGAUCAACGUUAAUCGGAUCAGGGUAAGUCGGGACCUAAGGUUAAGCCGAACGGCGAUACCGAUGGAAGAAUGGUUUAAUAUUCCCAUACUACUUUAUGGAGCGAUGUGGAGACGGAGAAGUGAAAGUCCUGCCAUCUGACGGAAUAGGUGGUUGAAGAGUGUAGAUGUAGAUUCCUGUAGGCAAAUCCGCAGGGAGAGUCGACCUUGAUAGUAUGCCGCGUGCUUGCACAAGGCAAAAUGGACGUAAUCAGGCUCCCAAGAAAAUCCGCUAAGCAUAUUCAUAAAGUACCCGUACCGUAAACGGACACACGUAGUUGGGUUGAAAAUACUGAGGCGCUCGAGUGAUUCACGGUUAAGGAACUAGGCAAAUUGACCCUGUAACUUCGGGAUAAAGGGUCCCUACUGAGAGGUAGGGCGCAGAGAAUAGGUCCAGGCAACUGUUUAACAAAAACACAUGGCUGUGCGAAAUAGAAAUAUGAAGUAUACAGCCUGACACCUGCCCGGUGCUGGAAGGUUAAGAGGAGAGCUCAUCGCAAGAGAAGGCUUGAAUUGAAGCCCCAGUAAACGGCGGCCGUAACUAUAACGGUCCUAAGGUAGCGAAAUUCCUUGUCGGGUAAGUUCCGACCUGCACGAAUGGUGUAAUGAUCUGGACACUGUCUCAACCGUGAGCU